CCUACGGGUAGCUGCAGUGAGGAAUAUUGGUCAAUGGGCGCGAGCCUGAACCAGCCAAGUAGCGUUAAGGAUGACUGCCCUAUGGGUUGUAAACUUCUUUUAUAAAGGAAUAAAGCGAGGCACGUGUUCCUUUUUGUAUGUACUUUAUGAAUUAGGAUCGGCUAACUCCGUUCCAGCAGCCGCGGAAAUACGGAGGAUUCCAGCGUUAUCCGGAUUUAUUUGGUUUAAAGGGUGCGUAGGCGGUCCGGAAAGUCCGCGGUAAAAGCCCGGGGCUAAACCCCGGCGAGCCGUGGAAACUGUCGGACUAGAGACGGCGAGAAGUACGCGGAAUGCGCGGUGUAGCGGUGAAAUGCAUAGAUAUCGCGCAGAACUCAGAUUGCGAAGGCAGCGUACCGGCGCCGGACUGACGCUGAGGCACGAAAGCGUGGGUAUCGAACAGGAUUAGAUACCCUUGUAGUC
rnacentral:rRNA from 1 species